GUGAAUCCCUUGGCUCAACCAAGGAAGGGCAUUUGAAACUGUCUGGCUUGAGUACGGGAGGGGGAAGUGGAAUUCCCGGUGUAGAGGUGAAAUCCGUAGAUAUCAGGAGGAACACCGGUGGCGAAGGCGACUUCCUGGACCGAUACUGACGCUGAUACGCGAAAGCAUGGGGAGCAAACAGGAUUAGAUACCCUGGUAGUCCACGCCCUAAACGUUGGGCACUAGGUGUUGUGGGUAUUGACCCCUGCAGUGCCAAGGGCGAAUUCCACAGUGGAUA
rnacentral:rRNA from 1 species